rnacentral:rRNA from 1 species
AUGGAGGAGCCCCCCAGCAACAAGCGCCGGAACUACAGCCACUACCAUCAGGAGGAUGGCCCGAGUCACUUCUGCAAGGUCAUCCUUACACCGAAGCUUGAGUGCAUCCCCAUGCCCCUAUACUUCACCAAGCACUUCGUCGCGGUGCCGAUGGAGUUCAAGCUCAGGAACAACACCGGUUGCUCCUGGAAGGUGACGGUGAAGAUGAUGAAUGGCAGGGUGACCCUGGAUCAAGGUUGGGCCACCUACGCAGCCGUUCAUCAGAUCAAGAUCGGCUACAUGGUGAAGUUCAAGCUCCUCACUCCCGACACCCUCAAGGUCAUCAUCUUCGACGACGAUGGCAUUGAGGUCAUCAACAAGUGCGGGAAGCACGACGAAGCCUUCGCCGCCAAGGAGUAA